rnacentral:rRNA from 1 species
AUGCUGGAGGUAUCAGAAGUGCGAAUGCUGACAUAAGUAACGAUAAAGCGGGUGAAAAGCCCGCUCGCCGGAAGACCAAGGGUUCCUGUCCAACGUUAAUCGGGGCAGGGUGAGUCGACCCCUAAGGCGAGGCCGAAAGGCGUAGUCGAUGGGAAACAGGUUAAUAUUCCUGUACUUGGUGUUACUGCGAAGGGGGGACGGAGAAGGCUAUGUUGGCCGGGCGACGGUUGUCCCGGUUUAAGCGUGUAGGCUGGUUUUCCAGGCAAAUCCGGAAAAUCAAGGCUGAGGCGUGAUGACGAGGCACUACGGUGCUGAAGCAACAAAUGCCCUGCUUCCAGGAAAAGCCUCUAAGCAUCAGGUAACAUCAAAUCGUACCCCAAACCGACACAGGUGGUCAGGUAGAGAAUACCAAGGCGCUUGAGAGAACUCGGGUGAAGGAACUAGGCAAAAUGGUGCCGUAACUUCGGGAGAAGGCACGCUGAUAUGUAGGUGAAGUCCCUCGCGGAUGGAGCUGAAAUCAGUCGAAGAUACCAGCUGGCUGCAACUGUUUAUUAAAAACACAGCACUGUGCAAACACGAAAGUGGACGUAUACGGUGUGACGCCUGCCCGGUGCCGGAAGGUUAAUUGAUGGGGUCAGCGCAAGCGAAGCUCUUGAUCGAAGCCCCGGUAAACGGCGGCCGUAACUAUAACGGUCCUAAGGUAGCGAAAUUCCUUGUCGGGUAAGUUCCGACCUGCACGAAUGGCGUAAUGAUGGCCAGGCUGUCUCCACCCGAGACUCAGUGAAAUUGAACUCGCUGUGAAGAUGCAGUGUACCCGCGGCAAGACGGAAAGACCCCGUGAACCUUUACUAUAGCUUGACACUGAACAUUGAGCCUUGAUGUGUAGGAUAGGUGGGAGGCUUUGAAGUGUGGACGCCAGUCUGCAUGGAGCCGACCUUGAAAUACCACCCUUUAAUGUUUGAUGUUCUAACGUUGACCCGUGAUCCGGGUUGCGGACAGUGUCUGGUGGGUAGUUUGACUGGGGCGGUCUCCUCCUAAAGAGUAACGGAGGAGCACGAAGGUUGGCUAAUCCUGGUCGGACAUCAGGAGGUUAGUGCAAUGGCAUAAGCCAGCUUGACUGCGAGCGUGACGGCGCGAGCAGGUGCGAAAGCAGGUCAUAGUGAUCCGGUGGUUCUGAAUGGAAGGGCCAUCGCUCAACGGAUAAAAGGUACUCCGGGGAUAACAGGCUGAUACCGCCCAAGAGUUCAUAUCGACGGCGGUGUUUGGCACCUCGAUGUCGGCUCAUCACAUCCUGGGGCUGAAGUAGGUCCCAAGGGUAUGGCUGUUCGCCAUUUAAAGUGGUACGCGAGCUGGGUUUAGAACGUCGUGAGACAGUUCGGUCCCUAUCUGCCGUGGGCGCUGGAGAACUGAGGGGGGCUGCUCCUAGUACGAGAGGACCGGAGUGGACGCAUCACUGGUGUUCGGGUUGUCAUGCCAAUGGCACUGCCCGGUAGCUAAAUGCGGAAGAGAUAAGUGCUGAAAGCAUCUAAGCACGAAACUUGCCCCGAGAUGAGUUCUCCCUG